GGGGGUAGCCGCCGGAGACCACAUUGAACCUCUUGUCUUUAGUGUUGUCUGAGCUUGAUAGCAAACCUAUUAAAACUUUCAACAAUGGAUCUCUUGGUUCCGGCAUCGAUGAGGAACGCAGCGAACUGCGAUAAGUAAUGUGAAUUGCAGAAUUCAGUGAAUCAUCGAGUCUUUGAACGCACAUUGCGCCCCCUGGCAUUCCGGGGGGCAUGCCUGUCCGAGCGUCAUUGCUGCCCUUCAAGCCCGGCUUGUGUGUUGGGUCGUCGUCCCCUCCGGGGGACGGGCCCGAAAGGCAGCGGCGGCACCGCGUCCGGUCCUCGAGCGUAUGGGGCUUUGUCACCCGCUCGAUUAGGGCCGGCCGGGCGCCAGCCGGCGUCUCCAACCUUUUAUUUUACCAGGUUGACCUCGGAUCAGGUAGGGAUACCCGCUGAACUUAAGCAUAUCAAUAAGCGGAG
rnacentral:rRNA from 1 species